rnacentral:lncRNA from 1 species
AUUUUGCAACAUUGCUAAACUAGCAGACUGGAGAGAUGCUCACAAUUCUCAGAUGAUAUGAGUGUUUCUCUGCAUGGGCAUCAGAGCUGCCACUGCUUGACAUUCCAAGAACUUCCCAGCUACAGGUUCAUCACCUUCUCCUCCCAGGAAAGACAUGUGAGAUUCUGCACAGAGACAGGAAUGUCAAGCAAGAACUGACCACCAUGUACAUCAGCUGGAACCUUUCUGGAAUCCACACAGUGUAAUAAUCCUUAGGAAAAGCUACCUGGGAUUCAGCUGUUACAAUCAGAAGGCCACGAACACUCAACUGGAACCUUUCAUAAUCCCAGUAAAAGGAAAGAUUCAGCUCUUGUCCUGAUUGCAGACUUUGUGCUGGGGGAUGCCAGCUGCCAUAUUGUGAAGACCCUCAAGCAUCCCUGUGGAGAGGUCCCCAUGGCACAGAAAUGGACUCUCAGCCCAAAAGCCAACAAAGAACCAAGGCCUCAAGCCAGCAGCCAUGGGAAUGGGAAUGUGCCAUCUUGGAAGCCAAUCCUGCAGCCCCAGUCAAGCCUUCAGAUGACAGUAGCCCCAGCCAAUAUCUUCACUGGAUCUUACUGAGAGACUAUGUGCCAGCAUGACCCUACUAAACAACUCUCAAAUUUCUGACCCUCAGAAAUUGUGUGAGAUAAUAAUUGUUUUUUGUUUUAAUAUGCUAAGCUUUAGGUUUGUUUGUUACUCCAAAUUAGACAACUAAUUCAGAAUGCAAUAUAUACACUCAGCCAGGUCAACUCCUCUGCUUCUUGAUGCCUGGGGAGAGUGGAGAGAGUGAUGGAUCCCCAUUAUUAUUGCACCCAGGGUACACUGGUCUGGGUUUAGAAUGUCUUGUGCUUUUUCAACCUUCUGUUCCCACAUUUCUCAGUAGUAUGUAUAUUAAACUCUCUUCAGUAACCCACUUUGAGUCUGCCAUUUUUUCCUGUUAGGUUCCCACCUGAAGUGGCUGCCAUGUAACAUCUACACAAACUCCAGCAAGUGGUGGUGGUAUCACCUGUGCUGUGAAUACCUCCCAGUGCAACCAUGCCUAUCACAUUGGAUGAUGCCAUUCAGAGCUGCUAGUGUCAGCAAAGCCAGGCUCCAGUGUCACCAGGGUGGUUUGCCUGCAUCACAGGUUCUUCGCCGACAUCACCAAUGGCUGUGCUGCCCAGGCUUUGCUCUCUCCAGUGCUCCUUUGAUAUUUGCGCGCCCCCCACCUCCUCCUAGGACUCAGAAGUAAGUCAUGUGAGAUGUGCGGGAAAGGAGCCAAGAGAAGGGCAAUUAGAAUCACCCUGAAGCAAAUUUGUCUUUCCAGGAUGUCCUGCCCAGGGCUUUACUGGGGUCUCACAUGAAUAGCUCUUGGCAGUGCCCCAGUGCACUAGAAAUGCUUAUAAAUUCCUGAAUCCCAAUGUGAACAGAGUUUGGGUCAGUCUGGACCCUUGCUU